rnacentral:rRNA from 1 species
UUUUCCUACGGGGGGCAGCAGUGGGGAAUAUUGGACAAUGGGGGGAACCCUGAUCCAGCGACGCCGCGUGAGUGAAGAAGUAUUUCGGUAUGUAAAGCUCUAUCAGCAGGGAAGAAAGAAAUGACGGUACCUGACUAAGAAGCCCCGGCUAACUACGUGCCAGCAGCCGCGGUAAUACGUAGGGGGCAAGCGUUAUCCGGAUUUACUGGGUGUAAAGGGAGCGUAGACGGUGCGCCAAGUCUGGAGUGAAAUGCCGCAGCUUAACUGCGGAACUGCUUUGGAAACUGGCGA